UACGUAGGGGGCAAGCGUUGUCCGGAAUCAUUGGGCGUAAAGCGCGCGUAGGCGGCGUUUUAAGUCGGGGGUGAAAGCCUGUGGCUCAACCACAGAAUGGCCUUCGAUACUGGGACGCUUGAGUAUGGUAGAGGUUGGUGGAACUGCGAGUGUAGAGGUGAAAUUCGUAGAUAUUCGCAAGAACACCGGUGGCGAAGGCGGCCAACUGGACCAUUACUGACGCUGAGGCGCGAAAGCGUGGGGAGCAAACAGG
rnacentral:rRNA from 1 species